CGAAAACAACGAAAACAACGGAAACAACGGAAAAUUAAUAACAACGUCAAUAAAGGAAAUAAUAACAGAAAUAACGGAAAUAAUAACAGAAAUAACGGAAAAAAUAACGGAAGCAACCUCCACAGACACAGAAACAUAAGGCAGAAAAUUAGGUGACAGGUCAAGAACAACAACGGACACAACGUAAACAACCUCCACAGAGACAGAAACAUAAGACAGAAAAUUAGGUGACUGGUCAAGAACAACAACGGAAACAACGGAAACAACGGAAACAACGGAAAC
rnacentral:lncRNA from 1 species